UACGUAGGGGGCAAGCGUUGUCCGGAAUCAUUGGGCGUAAAGCGCGUGUAGGUGGCCAAGUAGGUCCGCUGUGAAAACUUGAGGCUCAACCUCAAGCUGUCGGUGGAAACCCCUUGGCUAGAGUCCGGAAGAGGAGAGUGGAAUUCCUGGUGUAGCGGUGAAAUGCGCAGAUAUCAGGAAGAACACCAAUGGCGAAGGCAGCUCUCUGGGACGGUACUGACACUGAGACGCGAAAGCGUGGGGAGCGAACAGG
rnacentral:rRNA from 1 species